rnacentral:rRNA from 2 species
CUGACGAGCGGCGGACGGGUGAGUAAUGCUUGGGAACAUGCCUUGAGGUGGGGGACAACAGUUGGAAACGACUGCUAAUACCGCAUAAUGUCUACGGACCAAAGGGGGCUUCGGCUCUCGCCUUUAGAUUGGCCCAAGUGGGAUUAGCUAGUUGGUGAGGUAAUGGCUCACCAAGGCGACGAUCCCUAGCUGGUUUGAGAGGAUGAUCAGCCACACUGGGACUGAGACACGGCCCAGACUCCUACGGGAGGCAGCAGUGGGGAAUAUUGCACAAUGGGCGCAAGCCUGAUGCAGCCAUGCCGCGUGUGUGAAGAAGGCCUUCGGGUUGUAAAGCACUUUCAGUCAGGAGGAAAGGUUAGUAGUUAAUACCUGCUAGCUGUGACGUUACUGACAGAAGAAGCACCGGCUAACUCCGUGCCAGCAGCCGCGGUAAUACGGAGG